UUAAAUUGAAGAGUUUGAUCAUGGCUCAGAUUGAACGCUGGCGGCAGGCCUAACACAUGCAAGUCGAACGGUAACAGGAAGCAGCUUGCUGCUUCGCUGACGAGUGGCGGACGGGUGAGUAAUGUCUGGGAAACUGCCUGAUGGAGGGGGAUAACUACUGGAAACGGUGGCUAAUACCGCAUAACGUCGCAAGACCAAAGAGGGGGACCUUCGGGCCUCUUGCCAUCAGAUGUGCCCAGAUGGGAUUAGCUUGUUGGUGAGGUAACGGCUCACCAAGGCGACGAUCCCUAGCUGGUCUGAGAGGAUGACCAGCCACACUGGAACUGAGACACGGUCCAGACUCCUACGGGAGGCAGCAGUGGGGAAUAUUGCACAAUGGGCGCAAGCCUGAUGCAGCCAUGCCGCGUGUAUGAAGAAGGCCUUCGGGUUGUAAAGUACUUUCAGCGGGGAGGAAGGUGUUGUGGUUAAUAACCGCAGCAAUUGACGUUACCCGCAGAAGAAGCACCGGCUAACUCCGUGCCAGCAGCCGCGGUAAUACGGAGGGUGCAAGCGUUAAUCGGAAUUACUGGGCGUAAAGCGCACGCAGGCGGUCUGUCAAGUCGGAUGUGAAAUCCCCGGGCUCAACCUGGGAACUGCAUUCGAAACUGGCAGGCUUGAGUCUUGUAGAGGGGGGUAGAAUUCCAGGUGUAGCGGUGAAAUGCGUAGAGAUCUGGAGGAAUACCGGUGGCGAAGGCGGCCCCCUGGACAAAGACUGACGCUCAGGUGCGAAAGCGUGGGGAGCAAACAGGAUUAGAUACCCUGGUAGUCCACGCCGUAAACGAUGUCUACUUGGAGGUUGUGCCCUUGAGGCGUGGCUUCCGGAGCUAACGCGUUAAGUAGACCGCCUGGGGAGUACGGCCGCAAGGUUAAAACUCAAAUGAAUUGACGGGGGCCCGCACAAGCGGUGGAGCAUGUGGUUUAAUUCGAUGCAACGCGAAGAACCUUACCUGGUCUUGACAUCCACAGAACUUUCCAGAGAUGGAUUGGUGCCUUCGGGAACUGUGAGACAGGUGCUGCAUGGCUGUCGUCAGCUCGUGUUGUGAAAUGUUGGGUUAAGUCCCGCAACGAGCGCAACCCUUAUCCUUUGUUGCCAGCGGUUAGGCCGGGAACUCAAAGGAGACUGCCAGUGAUAAACUGGAGGAAGGUGGGGAUGACGUCAAGUCAUCAUGGCCCUUACGACCAGGGCUACACACGUGCUACAAUGGCGCAUACAAAGAGAAGCGACCUCGCGAGAGCAAGCGGACCUCAUAAAGUGCGUCGUAGUCCGGAUUGGAGUCUGCAACUCGACUCCAUGAAGUCGGAAUCGCUAGUAAUCGUGGAUCAGAAUGCCACGGUGAAUACGUUCCCGGGCCUUGUACACACCGCCCGUCACACCAUGGGAGUGGGUUGCAAAAGAAGUAGGUAGCUUAACCUUCGGGAGGGCGCUUACCACUUUGUGAUUCAUGACUGGGGUGAAGUCGUAACAAGGUAACCGUAGGGGAACCUGUGGUUGGAUCACCUCCUUACCUGAAAGAAGC
rnacentral:rRNA from 1 species